rnacentral:misc_RNA from 1 species
UGGAAACAUCUACAGGCUUUGAACAGAAAUUUGAAGACAUGUCAGCCACCAAAAUCCCAUUUUUGGGAGUUGGGUAAUCCUUGAACUCCACUCCAUGAAUGGUCUCGUUAGCGCAAAUAUGCAAAUAUUUGGCAUCUGGGCUUUGCUCUAAACUUUCAUAAGGUGAGAUUUUUGUAUACUUCUCAGAUUUCCCAGACCAAAUCACCUUGGGCUUGCAAAACUUCUGUGCCUCCUUGAAAGCCUUAUCGCCCCAAGAUCCAGUAACCACAUAAUCAACCGGGUCAUCGGGCUUGCACAGGUUCAACGGGAUCAUGGCGAACUGGGUGGUUCCGCCGCCCUGAAGAAA